rnacentral:rRNA from 1 species
UACGUAGGGUGCAAGCGUUGUCCGGAAUUAUUGGGCGUAAAGAGCUCGUAGGCGGUUUGUCGCGUCGGCUGUGAAAACUCGGGGCUCAACCCCGAGCCUGCAGUCGAUACGGGCAAACUAGAGUGUGGUAGGGGAGACUGGAAUUCCUGGUGUAGCGGUGAAAUGCGCAGAUAUCAGGAGGAACACCGGCGGCGAAGGCGGAUCUCUGGGCCUUACCUGACGCUCAGGUGCGAAAGCUAGGGGAGCGAACAGG